ACCAGGGCUGAUGCUGUGCCUGCCUGGCCCGGCCCCGCCGGCGAAGCCUCUCCGGGGUGAGGAUCAGCAGCUGGACUGACAAACGAGUGCGAGAGGGGAGGGUAGGUGGAGAAAUCCCCUGGUGAAGUGUGGCUGAUCUUCCUUUUAGAAGAUGCUCAGCCACAAUGGUACAUCCACCUGGGCUCACUGUUUAUUGUAUUUUACAGCUCAUUGGAAGACGCAUGUUGGCAGCCCAGGAAAAAAAAAAAGAGCUAUUUCUACUCACUUGAAGAAGUGGCAGUCCUAAUACCACAAAUCUGCACAUUUCUGUAAGAGUCAAAAAUGGAAACCAGAUCUGUAACUGAAAGCUGUAAUUAUCAAGGCUAACCUUUCCUGACUGAGAAAUGCAGAAUUAAAAAAAAUAAAAAUUCAAUUUAAGAAAAAACAUUCAAAAGCUUAAAUAAUUGAAAGCAAGCAAAA